rnacentral:rRNA from 1 species
AUUGAACGCUGGCGGCAUGCCUUACACAUGCAAGUCGAACGGUAACGCGGGGCAACCUGGCGACGAGUGGCGAACGGGUGAGUAAUGCAUCGGAACGUGCCCAGUUGUGGGGGAUAACUGCUCGAAAGAGCAGCUAAUACCGCAUACGACCCGAGGGUGAAAGCGGGGGAUCGCAAGACCUCGCGCAAUUGGAGCGGCCGAUGUCGGAUUAGCUAGUUGGUGGGGUAAAGGCCCACCAAGGCGACGAUCCGUAGCUGGUCUGAGAGGACGACCAGCCACACUGGGACUGAGACACGGCCCAGACUCCUACGGGAGGCAGCAGUGGGGAAUUUUGGACAAUGGACGCAAGUCUGAUCCAGCCAUGCCGCGUGCGGGAAGAAGGCCUUCGGGUUGUAAACCGCUUUUGUCAGGGAAGAAAUCUUCUGGGUUAAUACCUCGGGAGGAUGACGGUACCUGAAGAAUAAGCACCGGCUAACUACGUGCCAGCCGCCGCAGUAAUAC